CCCUAGCCCCGAUGGAAGGGAAAAUCCUUUUUUGUUGCUUUUUCUGCAACAAAAAAGAUUGGAAUGACAGCGGGAAAUAGC
rnacentral:sRNA from 1 species